GUGACGUUCCCUACGCGGUCGGGCGUUGGGUUUCGCGGCGCUCGCCGCACUGGUUGUUCAGCACCUUCGGUCCGGUUGAGGUUGUCAAGUCGGACCAAACAGGUUGUUUCUCUGCAGUUUCCAACAUGGCAGGGAGGUUUAAUAGACAUGGAUAAGAAGUCCACUCACAGAAAUCCUGAAGAUGCCAGGGCUGGCAAAUAUGAAGGUAAACACAAACGAAAGAAAAGAAGAAAGCAAAACCAAAACCAGCACCGAUCCCGACAUAGAUCAGUGACGUCUUUUUCUUCAGAUGAUCCUAUGUUUCCUUCUUCCUCAUCAUCGUCUUCAGGAAGCCAGACAGAUUCAAGUAUUGAAGAUGCUGCCAAGGGAAAAAUUAAGAAGAAGAGAAGAGAGAAAACAAAUAAAUGGGAAAAAAGAAAGGACAAAAUAUGAAACACCAAGAAAAAGAGAAGGAAAAAAAGGAGGAAACAACCACAUAUGUCACCUUUCCAAGGAAUAUAAUUCAAUAUCAGAAUGAUUUGGAAGGAAAAAACCUACAGGAAGCUAUUGUAGCCUAGUGAGGAAGAUAAAUAUUAAUACAGCCAAUUUAUAGAUCAGACUAAAGACAAUGAUUGGGGCAUUGAAAAGAACAGAUAGAAGAAAUAUUGCAAAGAGGGACUGAAACUGGGCUGACCCUUUUGAUUUCCAAGCUCAGCGUUUUGGUGUAAGGCGGCCAAAGAAGGAUGCGGAGCCCAGCACUGUGAAGCCUACAAAAACAUUGAUGCGCUGGCUUGGGGAUUUGAAUUUGAACAUCUUUCACACUAAGUUCAGACUCAUGAAACCAAUCUUCAGAUGCUCUGUAAACCACAUAAUAAAGAGUUUGGAAAUUA
rnacentral:lncRNA from 1 species